GACGAACGCUGGCGGCGUGGAUUAGGCAUGCAAGUCGAACGGUAUCAUCCUUUCGGGGGUGAGAGAGUGGCGAACUGGUGAGUAACACGUAGGUUAUCUACCCUCAAGACGGGGACAACCCAGGGAAACUUGGGCUAAUACCGGAUGUGAGCAACUUUUAGUUGUUUGAAAGGUGGCGUAAGCUGUCGCUUGGGGAUGAGCCUGCGUCCUAUUAGUUAGUUGGUGAGGUAACGGCUCACCUAGGCAAUGAUAGGUAGGCGGCCUUAACGGGUGGUCGCCCACACUGGGAUUGAGAUACGGCCCAGACUCCUACGGGAGGCAGCAGUCGAGAAUAGUCUACAAUGGUCGGAAGACUGAUAGUGCGACGCCGCGUGAACGAUGAAUCCCUUCGGGGUGUAAAGUUCUUUUAUAUGUGAGCAGUGCUUCUUAUAUUAACAGUAUGGGGAGAGAGAUAUUAGCAUAUGAAUAAGCAAACGGCUAAACUCCGUGCCAGCAGCCGCGGUAAAACGU
rnacentral:rRNA from 1 species